AUUGAACGCUGGCGGCAGGCCUAACACAUGCAAGUCGAACGAGUGGCGGACGGGUGAGUAAUGUCUGGGAAACUGCCCGAUGGAGGGGGAUAACUACUGGAAACGGUAGCUAAUACCGCAUACCAUCGGAUGUGCCCAGAUGGGAUUAGCUUGUAGGUGAGGUAACGGCUCACCUAGGCGACGAUCCCUAGCUGUUCUGUGAGGAUGAACAGUCAAACGGGAACUGUGAAACGGUCCAGAGUACUACGGGAGGGAGCAGUGGGGAAUAUUAAACAAUGGGCGAAAGUCUGAAGCUGCCAUGCCGAGUGUGGGAAGAAGGCUUUAGGAUUGUAAAGCACUUUAAGUUGGGAGGCGUUACCAACAGAAUAAGCACCGGCUAACUUCGUGCCAGCAGCCGCGGUAAUAC
rnacentral:rRNA from 1 species